rnacentral:rRNA from 1 species
UACGGGGGGGGCAAGCGUUGUUCGGAAUUACUGGGCGUAAAGGGCUUGUAGGCGGCCAACUAAGUCGGAUGUGAAAUCCCCAGGCUUAACCUGGGAACUGCAUCCGAUACUGGAUGGCUUGAAUCCGGGAGAGGGAUGCAGAAUUCCAGGUGUAGCGGUGAAAUGCGUAGAUAUCUGGAGGAAUACCGGUGGCGAAGGCGGCAUCCUGGACCGGCAUUGACGCUGAUGAGCGAAAGCUAGGGGAGCAAACGGG